rnacentral:snoRNA from 1 species
UUUUUCUUUAAUAAUCUAUAUACCCAACAUGGGGCUUGAACUCACAACCCUGAGAUCAAGAGUCACAUGCUCUACCAACUGAGCCAGC